AAUCAAAAAACUGUCUAAACGUCUUAUAUACAGUUUUUUAUAACCUUUCUGAUGAUGCAAGUCAUAUUCGAGGUCAUAUUUGUUGUAACUGAAUACAAAAUUUCACAUUUUCUACAGGAUGUAUGAAAAAAACGCAACCUCGGAAUUUCCUAAGAAAUCCACUUUGCAAUACUUAACCAUAAAAGAUUUUAGGCCUCUUGGGAAUUGAAAUCGAAUUGCUAAUAGCCAUAUCACUGUUGUACUGUUCUUGUAAAAUAAAAACUUAUUCAGUCAUUAAAUAGGGUAGGGAUAAAGGGCGGAUGCGGAUGGCGGAUACGGAUG
rnacentral:lncRNA from 1 species